CCUACGGGAGGCUGCAGUGGGGAAUAUUGCACAAUGGGCGCAAGCCUGAUGCAGCCAUGCCGCGUGUGUGAAGAAGGCCUUCGGGUUGUAAAGCACUUUCAGCGGGGAGGAAGGCGUUAAGGUUAAUAACCUUGUCGAUUGACGUUACCCGCAGAAGAAGCACCGGCUAACUCCGUGCCAGCAGCCGCGGUAAUACGGAGGGUGCAAGCGUUAAUCGGAAUUACUGGGCGUAAAGCGCACGCAGGCGGUCUGUCAAGUCGGAUGUGAAAUCCCCGGGCUCAACCUGGGAACUGCAUUCGAAACUGGCAGGCUAGAGUCUUGUAGAGGGGGGUGGAAUUCCAGGUGUAGCGGUGAAAUGCGUAGAGAUCUGGAGGAAUACCGGUGGCGAAGGCGGCCCCCUGGACGGAGACUGACGCUCAGGUGCGACAGCGUGGGGAGCAAACAGGAUUCGAUACCCUUGUAGUC
rnacentral:rRNA from 1 species